UUGUUCAAAAUUCCAAUUUUCAGCUACACAAUGCAUCUUGCCCACUCUUCUUGCAUUUGCUUUGUGUACUUGUGUUUCCAACUUGCAUCUGUAAUGAAAGCAGCAGAUUAAUCAAGAAAGUGACAACUGAGCUAUUAUGCUGGUCAUUUGUCCCACCAGCAAUUUGUACAGCCAUUAUGUGGAAAACGGAUUAUUGUAUACGUUUUCUGACGUUGGCAUUAGUAUUCGCACUUGGAUGUCUUGAAACUUGAAAGUAUGUGUGGAUGGGAAGCUGAAAAAGACCUUAUUAAGGUAUGAUACAGAGUGAAAUUAAGAAAGAAAUGACCAUUGCCUGAUGUACAUGACUUAUUUCCCCAUUACAGAGCCAUGCUAUGAAGAUAUCAUGGUGCUCCUUCCAGGAGGGGAUUCUGCUGUUGUGGGGAAGGGGAGGGGAGGACCACAUUGUAAGUAUCAGGUAAGUUUUACUCAUUUGAGAGUAUCUUUACAGUUUGUUGAAAGGGGUUUUAUUUGAAU